rnacentral:rRNA from 1 species
AUUGAACGCUGGCGGCAGGCCUAACACAUGCAAGUCGAGCGAGCGGCGGACGGGUGAGUAAGGUAUGGGGAUCUGCCCGAUAGAGGGGGAUAACUACUGGAAACGGUGGCUAAUACCGCAUACUAUCGGAUGAACCCAGAUGGGAUUAGCUAGUAGGUGGGGUAAAGGCUCACCAAGGCGACGAUCCCUAGCUGGUCUGAGAGGAUGAUCAGCCACCCUGGGCCUGAGACACGGUCCAGACGACUACGGGAGGCAGCAGUGGGGAAUAUUGCACAAUGGGCGCAAGCCUGAUGCAGCCAUGCCGCGUGUAUGAAGAAGUCCUUUGGGUUUUAAAGUACUUUCAGCGGGGAGGCGUUGCCCGCAGAAGAAGCACCGGCUAACUCCGUGCCAGCCGCCGCGGUAAUUC